rnacentral:rRNA from 1 species
UAGAGUUUGAUCAUGGCUCAGAUUGAACGCUGGCGGCAGGCCUAACACAUGCAAGUCGAGCGGUAGCACAAGAGAGCUUGCUCUCUGGGUGACGAGCGGCGGACGGGUGAGUAAUGUCUGGGAAACUGCCUGAUGGAGGGGGAUAACUACUGGAAACGGUAGCUAAUACCGCAUAACGUCUACGGACCAAAGUGGGGGACCUUCGGGCCUCAUGCCAUCAGAUGUGCCCAGAUGGGAUUAGCUAGUAGGUGGGGUAAUGGCUCACCUAGGCGACGAUCCCUAGCUGGUCUGAGAGGAUGACCAGCCACACUGGAACUGAGACACGGUCCAGACUCCUACGGGAGGCAGCAGUGGGGAAUAUUGCACAAUGGGCGCAAGCCUGAUGCAGCCAUGCCGCGUGUGUGAAGAAGGCCUUCGGGUUGUAAAGCACUUUCAGCGAGGAGGAAGGGUAGUGUGUUAAUAGCACAUUGCAUUGACGUUACUCGCAGAAGAAGCACCGGCUAACUCCGUGCCAGCAGCCGCGGUAAUACGGAGGGUGCAAGCGUUAAUCGGAAUUACUGGGCGUAAAGCGCACGCAGGCGGUUUGUUAAGUCAGAUGUGAAAUCCCCGCGCUUAACGUGGGAACUGCAUUUGAAACUGGCAAGCUAGAGUCUUGUAGAGGGGGGUAGAAUUCCAGGUGUAGCGGUGAAAUGCGUAGAGAUCUGGAGGAAUACCGGUGGCGAAGGCGGCCCCCUGGACAAAGACUACGCUCA